rnacentral:lncRNA from 1 species
CCAAACUAUUCAAUUUUUUUAAAAAUUUUAAAAAUAAAAAUAUUUAAAUAUCAUUCUUAACCAACUUAAACUUUUAGAAAAUAAUAAUUAUUUCAUAUAAUUUAAUAUGGUAUCAAGAGUAAGAAAUUCUGAGUAUGAGUCAUAACAGACUCUUAGCAUUAUUUAUUUCCUCCUAUUUAAUUUAAAUCCAUGUCAUAGGCAAGUAAAACCCUCGAGCCCAAACGUGCGGCGAGUGUUAAAAAAAAAAUAUUUAAAUACUGCUUUCUAUCAAUUGAAGAUUUUAAAGAAUAAAUAUAAUUUAACAUCGGAUAUAAAUCAUCAAAUUCUUAGUCAAUUAUGCUAUGUACGAUUAGUCUCUCUCUUCUCUAUUGUUU